AUUGAACGCUGGCGGCAGGCUUAACACACGCAAGUCGAGCGGAGAUGAGGUGCUUGCACCUUAUCUUAGCGGCGGACGGGUGGGUAAUGCUUAGGAAUCUGCCUAUUAGUGGGGGACAACAUUCCGAAAGGAAUGCUAAUACCGCAUACGUCCUACGGGAGAAAGCAGGGGAUCUUCGGACCUUGCGCUAAUAGAUGAGCCUAAGUCGGAUUAGCUAGUUGGUGGGGUAAAGGCCUACCAAGGCGACGAUCUGUAGCGGGUCUGAGAGGAUGAUCCGCCACACUGGGACUGAGACACGGCCCAGACUCCUACGGGAGGCAGCAGUGGGGAAUAUUGGACAAUGGGGGGAACCCUGAUCCAGCCAUGCCGCGUGUGUGAAGAAGGCCUUAUGGUUGUAAAGCACUUUAAGCGAGGAGGAGGCUACUGAGACUAAUACUCUUGGAUAGUGGACGUUACUCGCAGAAUAAGCACCGGCUAACUCUGUGCCAGCAGCCGCCGUAA
rnacentral:rRNA from 1 species